UGUCCUCGAACUCAUAAUCCUCCCGCUUAAACCUCCCAAAUACUAGGAUUACAGGUAUGCGUUCCCAUGUUUGGCUCAAAAAAGGUGUUUUAUUUAAACCAAUUCUGUAUUUAGACUCAGAGAGAAGGCACAAACUCAUGUGUAGGUAAAAAUUUCAGAUUAUCAAUGACUGUCAUCAUUUACCUAUCUGAUCCUAUUCUGGGUCAAUAGUGUGCAAGGAUAUUACUUUAAGAUGUUUGCUCUGACUUCAACCCUCUGAUUCCAUGAAAGAAAAGUAUUUCUGCCUGAUAUUGCCCCGGAUUUCCCCACAGGCUCACACUCCAGGCUCAACAUACCCUGCCUAAAAGUUGUAACUUCCCCAGGUACUUCAUCUAUGUAUUACUAUUAUUAAUUAUUGCUAUUAUGAUUGCUUCUGCUUUCUAGCCACCAUGCUCUGUGCUUAUCUUUUACAUCAGACUCUGGGAUGGGGUCUACUUCUGAUUUGGCCUCACAUCCCUGAAGUCCUUCCUUCCUGGCCUUUUGCAUGCCCGAAGCCCUGACAGUUCCCUGGAUGGAUACAUGGAUGCACGGACAGCCGGCUAGACAGGUAGACGGCUGGCUGGCUGGACAGCAGGACAGAUGAACUAAGGGCUGGGAGGAAGCAGGGACGGGCACUCUUCCUACGUGUGUGCUACUGCAAGUUCCUCUUGUUCCUCUGGGACAACAGCACACAUCCACCCUCUUUACCACACUCGUUUGAUUCCUAGGCAUGUACUCAACGGGAGGGCUCACAAUUUCUCUCCUGCCACCACUACAUUCAAGCUCACCGGCACACAGCAGCACGGGAGAGCUCUGAGGGGGUCCACGGCUUGAAGGGUGAGCUUUUUGACUGAACCACAAUCCACGCAUCACUGCUCUCGCUUCGUAUUUAAGAAACAGAAGUUUUCUGCUGGGAAAAUUCCCUCUCUCACCUGCUUCACGCACCUCCCAACCUCUGCAGAGAGACCUUUCAUCUUUCCUAAGGCCCUCAUCACCUAUUCUCUCAAACUUUAAUUUCGAAAACAACAGAUGAGGAAAUAAAGGCCACAGUAAGAAAAAUAAAACAGGUUAGUCGACAGCAAAAGGAGUACCUGCCAAUAAGAGCACCGUUUGUCCUAGUUACUGCUUUUAACUUCCUCGCUCUCCUGGCAUUAAUAGAAAUAAAACUGCAUGUCUCCAGCCUCAUGCUGCUAAUGUACAGUUAGCACCCCAGGCAACGGGAGCCACGGAGUUCAAGUGCAGUGGAAGCAAACUCAAGUAAACAGAUUGGAGACACGAUUGAUUGCAACACUUAGUCUCAUGGUACCACUCAUCACAGCUGCUGGGUUUCAUGUAAAAACAGGGAGUCCUGUGGUGGGACAGCCCCAUGGAACCAUCUAGGCCCCCAUGCCACAGAAGUACCUCUCUGUCAUAUAGAAAAUGUGGAGGGAUCAGCAAAGAAUGGAUGAGAAGUGGGGAGUAGUUGUUCCCAUACAGGGUUGCCUGGUUCCAACAGACUCUUCUACCCUACACGCCAAUGCCUGCUUCCUUCCCCCCAACCCCCGCCUCCUACAGCCACAACUCUGCCAGGGGCGCGGCAGCUGUCCCACCAGAUGACUGCCUUCCAGCAAGGCCAUUUCUCUACACUGGCACAUCUGAGCACUCUGAUGGUGCACCCCAAGGUCACCUUUCCAAUUUGCUUAUACCUCCACAUCAGAUUUGCACUACUGUCCCCGGUGGUGUCAGUGCGGCUAACUGCUCAGAACAGGGACCAAUGUCACCGAUGCAAAGGAGCAAGAAUAAGUGACUUAAGAUCUGACGUGGUGGCCCUCUGGAGUUCACAAGGUGCUUCCAGCACCACAGAGACCACGUGAUCCUUUCCCUGAGCCUCUGAGAUCUCCAAGGCAAGCAUUUCCUUUUCUCUUUAUUCUUUCCAACCCAGCUGGAGGAUCCGGUUUGCCAACAAAACCUUAGAUUUCCAGCAAAAACUUAGAUGAACCUGGGUCCUCGUGUGGCUGGAGCUGGGCACGGUCAAAGGCCUCUGAAAAGAAACUACAAGCCUGGUCCGUAGAUCCCGCUCGCGCCAUGCUCCCUGCUCAACACCCUUCUUCCAUCACGCCCAACGUCUCUGAGUUCACCCUCACCACACGGCAAACGUGGUUCUUGGGGCCUGAGACCCAAACUGUAAUUUCCUGAUGAACUUACGUGUUGAAUGAGGUCUCGCCUUACACAACACCACGUCCCUCUCUAAACAGGCUGGGAAGUCACCCCCUUCUCCCACAGGAGGACUCAUGCUGAGGAGCCCCAGGACCUUGGGCCUCCGCUCGCCAGAACCAAGCUGGAGAUGCUAAGUAAGUGGUGAGACUCCUUCUGUCCAACCCCAACAGCUCAUCCCUUCACGCACUGAAGGGCAGCAACAAAACGUCCAGGUUUGUUGAAACGGUACUCAGAAACCCAAGGACAGCUAGGGGGUGAGAACAGGUCUUUUGUUAAGUCUUCAAGGGCCAUUCUGACAUUUCUGGUCCCCAGACCUCCCACCUGUGUUCUGCUUCAUGGAACCACACCAUGGCUGUUGAGCAGGGCUUCCUGCGCAGAGACAGCUAAGUGACAGCAGAAGGAGUCACCUGGGUGGCACUGGUUACAAAACCCCCUAUUCGAUGGCUUCUGCAUUCUAGUCUUCUUGGGGGAAAUGCCGAUUGGCAAAUGACAGCAGUCAGGCUGGUGUGUCAGGAGCACUCUCUAAGGACAUAAAAUACAUAAGAUGUGGCUCAUAAAAUAUCUGCAGGGUGCUAUAAGGAAGCUACCGCAGAACAAGUUGUUUUACAUGUGCUCAUGUACAAACAUAUCUACAGGAAAUAUUACGGUGUAUGUAAAAACUGGCAUCUCUCUGUUCAGACAUGGCAUCUAAAUCCCUGCAAGCAUCGAUGUGAUUACAUUACUCCAGUGAGUUCCCUUGGAAAAGUCAGGUGUUGACUGCUGCUGGUGUCUGCAACAAUUUCCAGACACGAGCCCUGCUGGUUCAGCGUCUGGACAGAGAUAAAGUUCCUUAACUCUGACCACUUCAACUCAAGGUCAUUGGUUACAUUUAAUGCUGGAAUUUGGAUUCCAGACUUUUAAAAACACACAGCCUGGGCACUGAAACAUGACUGGUCACUCUGCAGUGAGUAACUCCGCCAUCCUCAGCAAUGGAAAUCAGUCAUGGAAGGCAAGUGCUCCCACAGACAGCUUUCCUUCAGGGUUGGAACAGGGGACUAGAAUUCAAAAGUAAAAUGCCCCCCACCCCAGCCUCGAGUCCAUCUCCUGCCCUGAGUGUUACACGCCCCUCUAUCCACACAGGUGCUCCAGAGGACCGGACCAUUUCAGGAGAGCCUCACCUGUUUCCAGCCCAAUGUCCAUCUACCACCAUGAGCCGCUGGCACACGGAAUGAAUACUGCCAACUGCCUGCCACAGCCAUAUUGCUGACCUGGGAAAUGAGAAGAAAUUUUGAAGAAAUGUGAUAAAGGACCCAACAGAACCGGAAAGGAGUGAGUGGAAGCACAGAGCCCCGGAGCAGGGGAAAGUGGAGGCUCCAGGUUCUGCAGAGGUGGGGAGGACCGCUCAAACGUGAGAACAGAAGUUUGCACCCCAGCACCCACAUAAAAGUCAAAUGGACUCUGCAGAUGUCUAACAUCCUAGGACUCGGGGUGGAGACAGAGAUGUCUGGACAAGCUGAUUGGCUAGACUAGCAGAACUGGCGAGAGACCCUGCCUCAGUGAAUAAAGCAGCAGGUGGCUGACGAAGAUGCCCAGUGUCAACCUCUGGUCUCCACACACAAGUGUGCACAUGUGUACUCACACUUAACACACAUGUGCCACGCACACAAAGAAAUACAUAAACAAUGGGGGUGAGAACAGACGGACGCAGCAAGCACGCAACCUGCACGGGUCUACACCAGGGCCUCUGAAUGCACAUUACAGCCUUCAGUUCAGCUCUUUAUGGUCUACACCAGGGCCUCCGAAUGCACAUUACAGCCUUCAGUUCAGGCUCUUUAUGGGGCUCCCCAAUGUGUGGACCAGUGCUGUGAUCCUCGUGUCUUCUCUUGGUUUGCCUUGUCCAAUCUUGAUGUGACAGGUUUUGUUUCAA